rnacentral:lncRNA from 1 species
CUGGUUUGGGUCCCCGACGUUUUGGAAUGCUACUGUUAUGAUGACACAAGUUGUUUGGUCGUUUUGUAGCUCGGUUGUGGGCUCGUUGUGGCUCCGCUCGUUAUUGGUUUCGCUGUUGGAUAUGUUUCCCAAGAGGAUCAUGUCAGCUCUCUUUUGAGGCACUGGAGGAGGCGAGCUCGGUGAUUCUUCUUCGGUUUCCCGAGCUCUCUUGUUAGAGGCUGGCUUAGAUUUCGUGUUGCCUUUUGGGGUUAUUGGGGCUUCUUCCUUUUUGGAGUCUUCACCGUUUUCUUCUUCUUCGUUUUU